CCUACGGGAGGCAGCAGUGAGGAAUAUUGGUCAAUGGGCGGAAGCCUGAACCAGCCAAGUAGCGUGCGGGAUGAAGGCCCUACGGGUCGUAAACCGCUUUUGCACGGGGAUAACACCCUCCACUUGUGGAGGUCUGCAGGUACCGUGCGAAUAAGGGCCGGCUAAUUCCGUGCCAGCAGCCGCGGUAAUACGGAAGGCCCGAGCGUUAUCCGGAUUCAUUGGGCUUAAAGGGAGUGUAGGCGGGCGUUCAAGUCAGCUGUAAAAUCGCGCGGCGCAACCGCGCCCCGCAGUUGAAACUGGACGCAUUGAGUUCACAACAGGCAGGCGGAAUUCGUGGUGUAGCGGUGAAAUGCAUAGAUAUCACGAGGAACCCCGAUUGCGAAGGCAGCCUGCCGGUGUGCGAAUGACGCUGAGGCUCGAAGGUGCGGGUAUCAAACAGGAUUAGAUACCCUUGUAGUC
rnacentral:rRNA from 1 species